GCAAUGAACUUCCUGAGAGGAGGACCCAGCAGAUCACCCAUCCUCACGUGAGCUGGAGACCGCUCUCAGUGAGGAUGGAAUUAUAAGGAUCCAAAUUACAUACAAGAGGGCCAUGUGGCUGUAUUUAAUCACCUUGAACUGGAGAGGAAGCAAUUAAAAGGGAAGAGAACAAAAAGGAGGAACAGGAAGAAAGAAAAGGAAGUGGCAGGAGAGAUAAGGAGGAAGACAGGUGAAUGAAAUCAGAACAGGAGAAAGGAAAGGAGUGCCUCCAGAGACACAUCUGUGGAUUACAGAGACACUGCUCUGGAUGACUUUUACUUGUUGUUCAACCUUGAUGCAGCUGGGACCUCUUUAACGACUGCCAGUUUUCUGACCUUUGACUUUGAGUGGAAGGAAUUCAUUUGAAAAUGAAAUGUAUCCUGAACCCACUGCUAGAUCUGCUUUCUAAAAAUGAACUGCUGCCUGCAUGGCUUUGACCCCAGUUGUCAGUGCGCUGUUUGACCUGAUUGCAUUUCUAUGGCUGCUGUCUCAUUAUGUGACUACUGUUGGGUCAGGAGUGUGUGUGUGGAGGAAGUUUCAUCAUCUUUGUUCACAAAAAGAAAAGCAGGUGACAUCAGCUAAACAGUCCAUUGAAGUGAAUAACCAGGAGUUUGAAGGAUUGCAUAAACCACUCUGAAGCAUAGUGUUAUUAGAGCUAAAAAGCUCUGAAAUAGGUUGUUAGAGCUAACUUUUAAAGUAAUUAUGAUAAUUCUCUGAUUUAGCAGGACAUGCAAGGGGCAGGGGAGAGAAAAUAAAAUAUAGAGCCCCCUGUUACCUCCCCAUUCCUCUGCUUCAAUACAUGAACCAUCCACCACAAGGUGUGGAUCUUGUUGCCUGUAUGGCAGAUCUGCACCUCACUAGCAAUGCCCUGGCUCACCCAUCUUUUCCCAAAGGAGUGAUAAUCUGAACUGUAGCUCCAUAGAGCAUAUUUCAAUUCCUGGGAGCAAGAUAGAUCUUUCCCCUCCUUUCCGUCUCAAAAAGGGUUUUGUUUCCACAGAUGGCAAUUGCCAAGUGCUAUGUUGUUACACAUUCCAGUGUUUUGGUGGGUUGGUGCCUCUUAGUAUACUUCAGACUAUGAUGACCACCUUCUUCAGUUCAGAAGGAUUUUAUUUAUUUAUUUAUUUAUUUAUUUAUUUAUUUGCAACAUCAUCUGGGAGUUUUUCAUCUUUCUGUUAGUAGUGGAGGGCAUAGGCCAAGGUGAUCUUAUUUAAAACAUUUGAGUUCCAGUCAUGGUUUGCAUUCUAUCACAUGUUUAAAAUGCCAGGAGUCUUUUGCAGCUGUGUUAUCGAGGCCCAAAUUUAUCCAAUCUCGAGCAAAGGGAUAGGAGUGUGAGACCUGGAGUUUUAGGCAGCACUGGGCAGUGUAGCUGCUUUGACACUGAGCACAGGGAAGGUAAAUUGGAGGAAGUGAUUAGUUAUGUGGGCUUUAUUAGUUUUGUUCUUAGUAUGUUAAUGGCAAUCACUAUAUUUAACAGCCAACAGUGUACAUUAAAGUUGUAUUUACUUGUCAGAGAUAAAUGCCAAUUAACAAACAAUGCUACCUUACAGGUAGAAGAAAAUCCACCCAAAAUUUGUCCUACCAAUAGAUUAUCUUAAUCUCUAAAAGAAGUGUAAUUGAAAUUUUGAUGCUAAUAUUUUUGUAGCUUCUGUAGUUAUUAAGGUCUUUGUCUUCAUUACCUCUUGGAUGUCACAGCAGAAAAUUAUUUGCUUGAAUACAGAAAAACAUAUUAGGAGUUAACAUUUCCCAACUUACCCUCAUGAGACUGGGUCAAUAUCAAAGCAAUUACCUAGGUAGGUUUCAAAUUAUGCCUUUGUGGUUUUAAAUGAAAAUCGAAGAAUGAUAGCAACCAAUCUAAUAGGCUAUGGGUUGCACAAGUAUGAAACAAUGCAUCAUACUGCAUUGUAUUAUGCUGAGUUUGUUUUGUUUGAAAUAACAAAAAGCAAACCAGAAGGAAAAGACUCUCCCAUUAAAAACAGUUUUAUUGUCAUGAUAACCAAUGACAAUGUUAAAGUAAGAUACGGGAAUAGAAUUGGUGAAUGUUAAAAUAAGGGAAAAGCAGGAAGAUAAUCAUUAAUGCAGUAACACAUCUGAGAUUCUUUUUAUAGUUAAACUGCUUGAUGGCAAUGCUUUUGACUAAAGCUCAAUAUGUAGGAUUUGAAAGAAUGAAAUAGAAAUAUUUUGUAAUCCAAUGCAUUUGGAGGGAAUUAAAAUAAAAAGAAACUUGGUGUGUUGGAUUGGGGUUCACAGGGAGGGAUUUAAACAUUCCCUUGUAGUGCUGAAAGCCCAGAAUACCCAGGGACUGUGCAAAUGCCAAGAACUAAGUGGAAGUGACUAAAGGCCUGACCGAAAGGCAAUUUAAAUUUAAGAGUCCUUUGACUUCAAUGUACUUUGGAUCAGUCCCUAAGAUUCUAGAUUG